UACAGAGGUCUCAAGCGUUGUUCGGAUUUAUUGGGCGUAAAGGGCGCGUAGGCGGCGGGGUAAGUCGGGUGUGAAAUCUCAGGGCUCAACCCUGAAACUGCACUUGAUACUGCUCUGCUUGAGGACUGGAGAGGAGACUGGAAUUCACGGUGUAGAGGUGAAAUUCGUAGAUAUCGAGAGGAACACCGGUGGCGAAGGCGGCCUUCUGGACAGUAACUGACGCUGAGACGCGAAAGCGUGGGGAGCAAACAGG
rnacentral:rRNA from 1 species